rnacentral:lncRNA from 1 species
ACCAAUCUCCAAAAACACCCAAGCAAAGUCCGCGACAGAGGAAACCUAAAAGUCACCCGGAAAGAAUGAAAUAUAAUUGUUCCUUCUUACAAUGCCAACUUAAACUGUCUUCUGUUGAAGAUUUAUUAGAAUUUAAAAAAGGACAUCUGCAGCUCAAUCUGGAAUUCUUCAAAAGUUCAAGACAAGUCAAGAUUUUGUUUGAAGAUGUGGAGAGAAAGCACACCGUGCACAACCAUCGAAUGACGAUUUCCUCACUGGAGCCUUCCUUUUUUUUUUCCUCAGUCAAAUUUCAUUUUGUGUCGUUAAUGAUUUGCUGCUACUUCAGGGAUUCUAUCCAAUUAGCAGAGCUAUCAGGGAUUUUAGGAAGCUCUCUCAACGGACAGUUUCAGGGGCUUUUCAGCAGAAUGUUUCGAAAAAUCCAAUUACCUCUCUCAGAUCUUAGCUGUUGCAAGUUUUUUUAAUUUAAAAGAAUGAAGCACAAAAAUUUUAAGAUAUCCAACCCCCUGACACAUUGAAAUUUUUUUGUGAAAAUUAUCAAAAAAUGAACAAAGAGAGUUUAAAUCAGGGACGGGCGGAGAUUGAGAAAGUGAUGGAAAAUAUCAGUCCAUAUGUACUUAAAGUGGCUCAUUUUAAUUGUUUUUGUUUUUGAGACAAACUGGUAUCGACCAGCCCACUGGGAUUUUUUGCAGUGUCCCCGCCUACCUGUCUGCCCCUGCUUCUGAUAGGCCCUAAACGAUGUUUCUUGAUCACACAGUUUAUUUUUUCUUCUUGUCAUUAAAUCUUGUCUUUCAUUGCGUGUUUCAUUGACGCAGUUUUUUUAACAUGUAGAUUUUAAGUCCCAAGUCUUAAUUAUAAAAUACACUCAAUACUCCGAACUCGCUCAACUUAAGACAUAUUUUCUUGAAGGAUGAAAUUGACAAAAUCCCAAUAAUUCCAGCAAGAAAGUGAAGAUAAUUACUAAAAAUUAAUCUCCCAGCUGGUAAAAGUGAAUGUGAUAGAAUCUACAUCUGUUCUUUGUUUACGACCUUAUUCCAGGCCAAGGCUUGCCUCAUUUCAUGGAUUUUGGUUAGUUUCUUGGGAUUGUGAAUUGCAAAAGCUUUAAAAUGAUCUAUUGUAAUGAGGGAAGCAUGCAAAGAAUAAGAUCUGAGUUUCCUUGUUUUUUGUUUUUUCCGAAUCACUCUACUCUUCAGCCAGCUGAUAUUGAUUUUCACUGCUUUAACCAAACAAAUUUCUUUUUCAUUUUGUCCAAAAGUAAGUAAGAUAAGUUUUUUUAAAUCCGAUCAAAUUUUCUCCCCCCCAAGACAAUACCUGAACAUUUCUUUGCCUCAUACGUAUAUAACUAUCCCACAACAUUUGAUUCCUUCAAUUUUUUCCCUCCAAAGUGUAUUUAAUUGUAUCACUGUAUCAAUGAAGUAUGUAUGUAUUCAUGCAUAUCCCCCUAACACAAGAGAUUUUCUUUUGAUGACUCAAUUUUUUGUACCCUUUUUUACUGUAAUUUUGUAAAGUUUUGAUCAGGAACUUAGGUCAGUUUUAAAGGCUAGCGUGAAGAACAUCUUGGCAGAUAAGACGUCACCAAGUAGGAAGGAUUUAUCUGAAAUUUUUAUUUUUUUUAUCAAAGGUGUCUUUACUAAAAUAUUCUAAUGGACUUAAUGUUGUCCUUUAAAACCCUCUAUGUAAAUGGAUCGAAUCUAUGUUGUGAUUGCCGAUUUUAACUCUGCUAGUUACCUGUUACGGUUUUUAUUAUGUACUCAAUUCUUCAUCCCAAAUAAGUGCAUUCAGAUGCACUGUGACAUCAGCCAAAAGAGACAGUAGAACUGCAAGCCAAAGUUUGCAGAGCUCCUGUUCUAGCAAGUCUGAAAAGCUGGUUCACAGUUCCUCGUUUAGGUGUUUCAAAUUAUAAAUAUUGUAAAUAAAAGCAGUGUAAUUCAUAAGUCCAAAGUUCAAUUACGUUAGGUUGUUUUUGUGUACUAUCAUCGUGUAAAUUAAGACAAAUAAUUUCAUAAAUUAAAUUAGUCUGUUCCAAUUUUUUUAAAACUCGUGUCUGUUUUAUUUCUCUGAAACAUUUUAUCUUUUGCCAUGGAAGUAGUUUUGAUGGAAACUACAUAGGAGAAUUUUUUAAUUUAUUUAUUUAUUUAUUUAGUUUCCUCGAAAUGUUAAACCAAGUUAAUUUUCCUAACGUUUGCCUACUCCGAAUUUUGAAAUCAUUUAAUACCUUCAUGCAGAAAAUUUCGAUGCGAUAUUUUGGUUCUUUUUUUUUCAAACAAGUAAAAUUAUUUGGUCAAAUUAAAUAGUUGUAGUUAAAAUACUCAUUUCAACUCAAAUUACAGUAAACAAAAAACAAAAAACAGGGCAAUAAGUGAAGGAUAAUGACGCGUGGUACUAGGUUUGCGGCGACUACGCGUCG